CUGAUCAAGACUUUGGCAAACACCUAAGAAACCAGCAACGGAAGUAGCUUAGCUAAGCUAAUCUAUGCAAUGUGUUCAUAUUAUGCGCUCCGUAUGCUUUAACUGCUUUUGAUAUAAGCAAUCUUUUUCUUUUAGAGAGCAAAUCUGGUGCCAGUGGCCUCAGCAAUUCCAGCUCCAAUGACGUAUAUUAAAGUGGCUGCGGUUAAAACGUGCGCAGUUGAAUUUGUGCUCCAUACGGGUGAUGUAGCUGUAAUUGUAGCAUUCCUUAUCUAAGAAAGCAUAUUAUCAGCGGAUUUCUUAUGCGCAAUUGUAUUCUUUGCGUAUUCCUUUUAUUUAACCCUGCUUCAAUGCUCUUCAUCGAGCGUUUUUGUGGGCUGGUGGGUUGCUCGGAAAGAUAUUUCUUUUUUUAGCCAAAAUAAAAGACGAUUUUCUUAUAGUGACGUUUCGUGCCAUCAUGAACAGUCGAAUUCGAUAAAUUUAACCUCUCAGCGAUUCUACGACUUGUUAUUCGGCCGUUUGCAUCAAUGAAUGGCUUUAUCUUAUCGUCAUCAGCGCGAUGUGAUCUUCCAGAACGUGGUGCACCUGCAAGAUCAAAAUUGCCAGAUCGAAAUUUUUGCAAAGCAGUUUUGGCACUGGCGAUCUGCCAAUACAUCUUCUGCAUACACAUCACGUAAUUUUUUUCUUGCUUGAAAAGUAUUUUUACUUCUUCGAUAGUGAAACAGCGAAAUAAGCCCAAAAUGUUGACAUUCUACAUUUGAAAGGACACCAACCAAAAAUUACCGCGAACCUUUUCACAAGCAAGCUUUGCUGCUGUUGUCAUCAUAUAUACUGAUUAUGGAGCUCAAGUUUGAAGUUGGAAGUUGAAAGUACACAAUAAUUUCACAGAAAAAAACGAAAUUAAUUUCUGAGCAAUCAAAUGUUUUGAAUAAAUUAAAGCGUUUAGAGUGGGCUCCCGAUGCUUGAAUGUAAGACCUCUGUGUUACUUUCAUUCUUAGAUCCGGAGGUAAUGAUUUAUAGAAGCAGUUUGAGGGCAUUAGUAUCACGAUGCGAGAGGUAAAAUUGUUGGGUCGUCUUAAGACUAACUUAAGCGAAAACAUUUGCAAAAGAUGUUUUCAUUAAUCAAGAAGGACGAUCAGAUACCGUUCUAUUUCAAAACGUAAACGAUGCUAGCCAGCAAUUGGGGGAGGCUACUGUUAUAGCUCUCCAAAUCGCUUCCCGGAAAACCCAAGCUUUUGGGCUGCG
rnacentral:ncRNA from 1 species